UGAGAUAAGUUUCAUUGUCAAAAGGGAAACAGCCCAGACCCACAGCUAAGGUCCCAAAGUACAUUUGAGUGGAAAAGGAUGUGGGGUUGCAUAGACAACCGGGAUGUUGGCUUAGAAGCAGCCAUACAUUAAAAGAGUGCGUAAUAGCUCACCGGUCGAGUGACCCUGCGCCGAAAAUUCAACGGGGCUAAAAUGUACACCGAAGCUUGGGAUUGCAGUUACUGAACAAAGCAGAUUGAUGAAAAGGUUGAAUCUGGCCGAAGGCAAAAUUCAACUAAAAAGCUAAAAGUCAGUAAGCUUUGUUCAGUAACUGCAGUGGUAGGAGAGCGUCGAAUACGGGGUGAAGUCAGAGCGGAAGCGCUGGUGGACUGUAUUCGAGUGAGAAUGCCGGAAUGAGUAGCGAGAAUUAUGUGAGAAUCAUAAUGGCCGAAAGUCUAAGGUUUUGGAAGGAAGGUUCGUCCGCUUCCAGUAAGCCGGGAGCUAAGGUGAGGCCGAAAGGCGUAGCCGAUGCACAUACGGUUGAAAUUCCGUAGCCUCCGAAGUAUUUAAACAGAAGGACACUUGAGAAGUGAUGUUGCCGGGCGAUGGUUGACCCGGUCGUAAGGGACCGAAAUUUAGUAGGGAAGUCAUCAUGGAUUGAGGCGAGAAAAGUUCUGUGAAUAUACAAGGAGCCCGUACCGCAAACCGACACAGGUAGAUAGGAAGAAAAUUCUAAGGCCAACGGGAGAAGGGUUGUUAAGGAACUCGGCAAGUUGACCCCGUAACUUCGGAAUAAGGGGUGCUCUCGAGAGAGAGCCGCAGAGAAUAGGCCCAGGCGACUGUUUAGCAAAAACACAGCUCUAUGCUAAAUCGAAAGAUGAUGUAUAUGGGGUGACACCUGCCCGGUGCCGGAAGGUUAAGAGGAGGCGUGAGAGCGCUGAAUUGAAGCCCCGGUAAACGGCGGCCGUAACUAUAACGGUCCUAAGGUAGCGAAAUUCCUUGUCAGGUAAGUUCUGACCCGCACGAAUGGCGUAAUGAUUUGGGCACUGUCUCAACAGCCCGCCCGGCGAAAUUGUAGUACCGGUGAAGAUGCCGGUUACCCGCGACUAGACGGAAAGACCCCAUGGAGCUUUACUGCAGCUUAAUGUUGAAUUUCGGUAUUUCAUGUACAGGAUAGGUGGGAGACUGGGAACUACAGGCGUCAGCUUGUGGGGAGUCACUGUUGGGAUACCACUCUUGAAGUGCUGGAAUUCUAACCUGCGGCCUUGAAUCAGGUCGGGGGACAUCGUUAGGCGGGCAGUUUGACUGGGGCGGUCGCCUCCAAAAGAGUAACGGAGGCGCU
rnacentral:rRNA from 1 species